UUAAAUUGAAGAGUUUGAUCAUGGCUCAGAUUGAACGCUGGCGGCAGGCCUAACACAUGCAAGUCGAACGGUAACAGGAAGAAGCUUGCUUCUUUGCUGACGAGUGGCGGACGGGUGAGUAAUGUCUGGGAAACUGCCUGAUGGAGAGGGAUAACUACUGGAAACGGUAGCUAAUACCGCAUAACGUCGCAAGACCAAAGAGGGGGACCUUCGGGCCUCUUGCCAUCGGAUGUGCCCAGAUGGGAUUAGCUAGUAGGUGGGGUAACGGCUCACCUAGGCGACGAUCCCUAGCUGGUCUGAGAGGAUGACCAGCCACACUGGAACUGAGACACGGUCCAGACUCCUACGGGAGGCAGCAGUGGGGAAUAUUGGCACAAUGGGCGCAAGCCUGAUGCAGCCAUGCCGCGUGUAUGAAGAAGGCCUUC
rnacentral:rRNA from 1 species